rnacentral:rRNA from 1 species
UACGUAGGUGGCAAGCGUUGUCCGGAUUUAUUGGGUUUAAAGGGUGCGUAGGUGGCUAUCUAAGUCAGUGGUGAAAUAUCUCAGCUUAACUGAGAGGGUGCCAUUGAUACUGGAUAGCUUGAGUACAGAUGAGGUAGGCGGAAUUGACGGUGUAGCGGUGAAAUGCAUAGAUAUCGUCAAGAACACCGAUAGCGAAGGCAGCUUACCAAGCUGUAACUGACACUGAGGCACGAAAGCGUGGGGAGCAAACAGG